AGAUGAACGCUGCGGCAGGCUUAACACAUGCAAGUCGAGCGGAUGAAGGUAGCUUGCUACGGAUUCAGCGGCGGACGGGUGAGUAAUGCUUAGGAAUCUGCCUAUUAGUGGGGGACAACGUUCCGAAAGGAGCGCUAAUACCGCAUACGUCCUACGGGAGAAAGCAGGGGACCUUUGGGCCUNGCGCUAAUAGAUGAGCCUAAGUCGGAUUAGCUAGUUGGUAGGGUAAAGGCCUACCAAGGCGACGAUCUGUAGCGGGUCUGAGAGGAUGAUCCGCCACACUGGGACUGAGACACGGCCCAGACUCCUACGGGAGGCAGCAGUGGGGAAUAUUGGACAAUGGGGGGAACCCUGAUCCAGCCAUGCCGCGUGUGUGAAGAAGGCCUUUUGGUUGUAAAGCACUUUAAGCGAGGAGGAGGCUACCUAGAUUAAUACUUUAGGAUAGUGGACGUUACUCGCAGAAUAAGCACCGGCUAACUCUGUGCCAGCAGCCGCGGUAAUACAGAGGGUGCGAGCGUUAAUCGGAUUUACUGGGCGUAAAGCGUGCGUAGGCGGCCAAUUAAGUCAAAUGUGAAAUCCCCGAGCUUAACUUGGGAAUUGCAUUCGAUACUGGUUGGCUAGAGUAUGGGAGAGGAUGGUAGAAUUCCAGGUGUAGCGGUGAAAUGCGUAGAGAUCUGGAGGAAUACCGAUGGCGAAGGCAGCCAUCUGGCCUAAUACUGACGCUGAGGUACGAAAGCAUGGGGAGCAAACAGGAUUAGAUACCCUGGUAGUCCAUGCCGUAAACGAUGUCUACUAGCCGUUGGGGCCCUUGAGGCUUUAGUGGCGCAGCUAACGCGAUAAGUAGACCGCCUGGGGAGUACGGUCGCAAGACUAAAACUCAAAUGAAUUGACGGGGGCCCGCACAAGCGGUGGAGCAUGUGGUUUAAUUCGAUGCAACGCGAAGAACCUUACCUGGCCUUGACAUACAGAGAACUUUCCAGAGAUGGAUUGGUGCCUUCGGGAACUCUGAUACAGGUGCUG
rnacentral:rRNA from 1 species